UACGUAGGGAGCAAGCGUUGUCCGGAAUCAUUGGGCGUAAAGCGCGCGUAGGUGGCUUCGUAAGUCCGUUGUGAAAGUCAAAGGCUCAACCUUUGAAAGCCGAUGGAUACUGCGGAGCUAGAGUACGGAAGAGGCGAGUGGAAUUCCUGGUGUAGCGGUGGAAUGCGCAGAUAUCAGGAGGAACACCGGUGGCGAAGGCGGCGACCUGGGUCGAUACUGACGCUGAGGUGCGAAAGCGUGGGGAGCAAACAGG
rnacentral:rRNA from 1 species